CACUGGGCUGUCCCUGGUUACCAGGGCAACAGAAGCAGUGAUGAAAAUCAUGCCUUUCGUUCAGUGGAAAAAUCUGGCUCCUCCUCCCGCCUCUUCCUUCUCUAAUCGCCUGCAACCUAUUGGGAGGGUAGUGGCUCCAGGGAUCAGAGACCCCAGUGUGUCUCUCUCAGGGCCCCCCCUUCCCCGUUUUUUGUCAUCGUCCGCCUUCCUGCAUCCCCUCUUUCCCCCAGAGCUCGGUAAUUGGCAGUUGCGUAGGAGUUGGACUUCGUGGAGGGGGAAGGGUGCGGACGUCAUCGCAGGGCAGGGCGAGCCGAGCGUGGGCAGAGAUGUGGAUGCGGGAAGCCACGGGCACACGAGGAGGGUCAGACAAUGGAAAACCUGCAGAGCCUGGCGUCUGGGCCCGUGGUGGUGGGAAGAGGAGGCUCAGGUGUCUGGGGUGGUCAUGGCUCCUGCCGCGAGCUAGGAUUCAUUCAUUGCGCACUUUUUUAGGGGUGUCUGCCAUGUUAGGUAAGGUUCUGGGAGCUGGGAAGACGCAGGUAAGUAAGCUGGGCCUUGACCUUGAAGAGACUGUGGGAGAUGGGAGGAGGACGGGCAUGUGGGGAAAGAGCAGCUGGCAUUGUGACCAGCCUAGAAUCUGGGGCCCCGGGCAGGAGAUGGGCCACAUUCCCGCCCGGAGGUGAUGGAUUAAGGUGGGGCCUGUGGGAAUUCGGAGGAGGAGGAGGUAGUCAGAGAGCCCCUUUGGCUUGGAGACAGGACAUGGGGGAGAGAAGGUGCUGACAUCUUGAGCCUUAAUGAUUGACAGAAACAGAAAAGUCAGGGUUCAGACUUGUUCGGGGAGUCAUGCUUGCUUUGCUUUUUUAGACGGGUUGCCAUCAAGACAAUGGCAGGGUAUCUGGAUGGAAACGUUACAGUCAGGCAGGUAAAGUUUGCCGUGGACCUGGGCGCUGGGAGGAGAUCUGGAGGAGACUGUGUUGUGAGGUCUGGGAGGCGCGUGGUUGCCGAGACGGUGCGGGGACAGGGAUCCCAGGGCCUGGGGCAUCGGCCUGGAAGGGGGUCAGCUUCUGUACCUCGUGCUUGUGGAUCAGCCCAGGGCGCGCCCAGACUGCCGGACCAGUUUCUGCUAAUGAGCACCCACGUCUUCCCCCCACCCACACCCCGUUCUGAAGCUGAGGUUUCUGUUUAGGUCUUCUUCUCCCUGGUAACGACCUUUGGGAGGGGAUGUCCUGGAAAGAUAGAGCCACACACUUAACCGCUCCGAGCUCUCGGUCUUGACCUUGGUGCUAUCAUUUGCUUAUCAGUUCCUGAGCGGUCGGAGACGUGCUGUCGCGACACAUGCCCUGGGUCCUCAGCCUCCACCAGCAAGGCUGCUUGUUCUGAUGCCUUUCCAGUCAUCUUUCUAGAGGAAAAAGAGCACUGCCCAGAAUCAGGAAGCCUUGGGCAGCUACAUGAUCCCGGGCAAGUGGCUGCUUUUUCCAAGCCUUCGUGCCUGGCCGAAGAUGCGCAUUUCUUCCCCUUUUCCCAGGUCUCUGCGGCAGACUAGGCUUUUGAAGCUAGCAGCCCCGCUCGUGGGAGGGAAUAGCAGGAAUGGGGGUCCCCCGAGCACACCCCGCUCUCCAGAGUGGGUAGCAGCCUCCCAGAGGGAGGGUGGCCUCCGUUCCUCUUGGGAGCUUGGACAUACUAGACGAGUAGGUUGUCCCAGGGACCAGGAGUUGGCAGACGGUAGCCCAUGGGCUGGCCGCCUUCUUUGGUAAAUAAAGUUUUAUUGGGACAGAGAUGCGUACACUGUUUGUCGUGUCGUCUGUGGCCGCUGGAGGUGGCACGACCUACAAGCCGAAAGGAUUUACUGGCUCACCUUUCGAGAAAGAAAUGGCCAACCCUGGCCCUAGACCACCAGGAAAGAGCUCGGACCUCCACUGGGGAUGCUCAUGAGGCCGUUUCGGCUUCCUAGGGCUCUUGCAGCUUCUGCCUCGGGGGCCUUCCUUUGCGAUCCCAAGCAAGGAUGACGUGGCAGUUUUUAGAGUCAGCCCACAGAGAGUAGUGCGGCCGCUGGGAAGUCUGCUGCGUUUUCGUCCCUGUCCCUGCAGCCUGGAGGGCGUCUGUUCCAGCCCUCUCCCCUCUCCCCACCCACACACUCGAACUUCUUCGUGUCCGGGACCCUGAAUUCGUCACUGGGGAUGGCUCGUGGCCUUGGGGCGACAAGCUUUCCUUCCUCUUCUUCCCAGGCCAUGGGGGGAGAAUGGACCAACCCAAACCCAGUGUCUGGUGAGGAGAAGGGGCGCCUCACUGGUUCUGCCGAGUCCCGCAGCACGUGUCCCUUGAUAGCUUUGCUGUGUCACUUCCGGCUUCACUGUGCCCUUUAGUUCCAAGGCCCUGGAGAUGCGCCUGCAAAGAGGGUUUGUCUGCCUGAACUUGGCACUCCUCCACGGUCGGAACCAGGCCCCGUGGCUUGGGGUUUGGGGAGUGUGUGUCUGUGUUGGCAGGGGCUGGAGUUGGCACUCAGGAGCCCUGCGUCAGCCCUUACCGAGUCCCCUUGUGUUCUGGUUCCCACCUGGUUUGAUGUGGUCCUCAAACUGGAGUCUCAGUGAAACUCCUGGCUGGGAGCAGGGUGAAUUUCAAGAUCUUGCUUUUACAAAACAGAAGCACCAGAGCAGAUGGGUCACUUCAGCUCAGGGCUGAGAUAGGAAGUGAGACACUGGUGGCAAGAGGAACCCGCGUGCUCAGAGCAGUAUGGGGGGGGGGCGCAGAUGACUGAGGUUUAUUCCCAUUGCAGCUGGAAGGGAGGAGGCUGGCAGUGGGAGGAGGGAGCAGACGACCCAGAAUAGCAAAGAAGACAGAAGCUCAGCACACCCAGAGCUGCUUUUAGCUGGGCCUGGUAAGCCUGGCUCUAGGAGCCUUACUUCUCACCUCCCUACACACAUUUUUCCCAGAGGCCAGGUUUCUGAGUGUUCUCAUAAAAAAAAAAAAAAAAAAAAA
rnacentral:lncRNA from 1 species